GAUGAAGAACGUAGCGAAAUGCGAUAAGUAAUGUGAAUUGCAGAAUUCAGUGAAUCAUCGAAUCUUUGAACGCACCUUGCGCCCUUUGGCUAUUCCGAAGGGCAUGCCUGUUUGAGUAUCAUGAACACCUCAACUCUCAUGGUUUGCCAUGAUGAGCUUGGACUUUGGGGGUCUUGCCGGCCUAUGGGUCGGCUCCUCUCAAAUUAAUCAGCUUGCCAGUGUUUGGUGGCAUCACAGGUGUGAUAACUAUCUACUCUUGUGGUUUUCCAUCAGGUAACCUUCAGUGAUGGAGGUUCGCUGGGGCUCAUAAAUGUCUCUCCUCAGUGAGGACAGCUUUUUUGAACGUUUGAUCUCAAAUCAGGUAGGACUACCCGCUGAACUUAAGCAUAUCAAUAAGCGGAGGA
rnacentral:misc_RNA from 1 species